GCCCGGGUAGUGUAGCGGUAACAUAGGGGACUGUGGAUCCCCUGUCUCGGGUUCAAAUCCCGGCCCGGGCC
rnacentral:tRNA from 1 species